rnacentral:misc_RNA from 1 species
GAUGAAGAACGCAGCGAAAUGCGAUAAGUAAUGUGAAUUGCAGAAUUCAGUGAAUCAUCGAAUCUUUGAACGCACAUUGCGCCCGCCAGUAUUCUGGCGGGCAUGCCUAUUCGAGCGUCAUUUCAACCAUCAAGCCCCCGGCUUGUGUUGGGGACCUGCGGCUGCCGCAGGCCCUGAAAACCAGUGGCGGGCUCGCUAGUCACUCCGAGCGUAGUAAUACAUCUCGCUCAGGGCGUGCUGCGGGUUCCGGCCGUUAAAAAGCCUUAUUUACCCAAGGUUGACCUCGGAUCAGGUAGGAAGACCCGCUGAACUUAAGCAUAUCAAUAAGCGGAGGA